CCUACGGGAGGCAGCAGUGGGGAAUAUUGCACAAUGGGGGAAACCCUGAUGCAGCGACGCCGCGUGAGUGAAGAAGUAUCUCGGUACGUAAAGCUCUAUCAGCAGGGAAGAAAAUGACGGUACGUGACUAAGAAGCACCGGCUAACUACGUGCAAGCAGCCGCGGUAAUACGUAGGGGGCAGGCGUUAUACGGAUUUACUGAGUGUAAAGGGAGCGUAGAAGGGAGUACAAGUCUGGAGUGAAAGCCCGGGGCUUAACCCCGGAACUGCUGUGGAAACUGUGCGGCUGGAGUGCAGGAGGGGUAAGCGGAAUUCCUAGUGUAGCGGUGAAAUGCGUAGAUAUUAGGAGGAACACCGGUGGCGAAGGCGGCUUACUGGACUGUAACUGACGUUGAGGCUCGAAAGCGUGGGGAGCAAACAGGAUUAGAUACCCCGGUAGUC
rnacentral:rRNA from 1 species